rnacentral:rRNA from 1 species
UGAAGAGUUUGAUCAUGGCUCAGAUUGAACGCUGGCGGCAGGCCUAACACAUGCAAGUCGAACGGUAACAGGAAGCAGCUUGCUGCUUCGCUGACGAGUGGCGGACGGGUGAGUAAUGUCUGGGAAACUGCCUGAUGGAGGGGGAUAACUACUGGAAACGGUGGCUAAUACCGCAUAACGUCGCAAGACCAAAGAGGGGGACCUUCGGGCCUCUUGCCAUCAGAUGUGCCCAGAUGGGAUUAGCUAGUUGGUGAGGUAACGGCUCACCAAGGCGACGAUCCCUAGCUGGUCUGAGAGGAUGACCAGCCACACUGGAACUGAGACACGGUCCAGACUCCUACGGGAGGCAGCAGUGGGGAAUAUUGCACAAUGGGCGCAAGCCUGAUGCAGCCAUGCCGCGUGUAUGAAGAAGGCCUUCGGGUUGUAAAGUACUUUCAGC